rnacentral:rRNA from 1 species
UACGGAGGAUGCAAGCGUUAUCCGGAAUGAUUGGGCGUAAAGCGUCCGCAGGUGGCUGUGUAAGUCUGCUGUCAAAGAGCAAAGCUCAACUUUGUAAAGGCAGUGGAAACUACACGGCUAAAGUGCGUUCGGGGCAGAGGGAAUUCCUGGUGUAGCGGUGAAAUGCGUAGAGAUCAGGAAGAACACCGGUGGCGAAGGCGCUCUGCUAGGCCGCAACUGACACUGAGGGACGAAAGCUAGGGGAGCGAAUGGG